CACCAGUGUGACCAGGAAUGUGGUUGUCCGUGUGAGCAUCACCGUGACCAGGCUUGUGGUGCUUCGACGAGAAGUCCUGAUGACCAGGCUUGUGGUUGCUUGUCGAAACAUCCGCAGCUACAGUGGCAAAAGAUUGAGCGACGGCAUCACCGUGACCGGGCUUGUGGUUCUCCGUAUGAACUCCACCAGUGUGACCGGGCUUGUGGUUCUCCGUAGAAACUCCACCGGUGUGACCAGGCUUGUGGUUCUCAGUCGAAACUCCACCGGUGUGACCAGGUUUGUGGUUGUCAGUUGAAACUCCACCAGUGUGACCAGGCUUGUGGUUGUCAACGUGAACUUCUGGCUUGUGAUUGUUCGUUGACGCGUCCGAGUGACCGGGCUUGUGAUUUUUCGUUGACAUCUCUCCCGCUGUCCAAUACGGCGGUAUAGCUGCGUCAGGCUUGUGGUUCUCUGUGUGAAACCCACCGGUGUGCCCGGGCUUGUGAUUGUUCGUCGACACGUCCGAGUGGCCAGGCUUGUGAUCAUCUGGCUGGACCACGCCAUGCCCGGGCUUGUGGUUCUUCACGGAGCCUCCAAACUCAGGGUGAUCGUAAGAGUCUG
rnacentral:lncRNA from 1 species